rnacentral:tRNA from 1 species
AAUGAAGUGCCUGAUUAAAGGACUAUCUUGAUAGGAUAGAUCAAGUAAAGAUUUACCUUCAUUA